AAGAUAUCAGGGAAAGCCAAAAAUUUGUGAGAUUCAUCAACGCCAUCUCAUUGACGGAAGAAUACACAAGCUCAAGAUGCAACUUUAAGUUAUUACGACCCAAAAAUUGGACCUCAAGAGACGCUUGUUUAGAAAAAGAUAAAUAUCUGGAGCCCACUCCAUUUGAAGACGUCCUCAAGAGCAAAGCGCUUAACCUGACCAAGGUGUGCCAUAUUAUAUCGCCGCUCACGAUUUUAUUAAUUUAAAUAAUUUCCUUUAUUAUCAAG